rnacentral:lncRNA from 1 species
AAAGUUGCCAAAAGCAUAAAUUCCUCAAGCACAAGAUUAUGGGUGAGAAGAUAACUCCCUCCAAAUCAGUUUACCAUCUGAGGAAGGCUGGCUCAGUUAUCACCACAACUCCGAAUCACUGAAACCCUAUAUUGCACAACACAAUCCUAGACUCAAGAGAAGAGCAGCGAAAUAGGUGCAGGCAAAUUGAAUGGAGAGGUUGAAAGAUAUUUCAACACAGUGUCCUGUAAGAUCCAAAAAAGAAAAAAAAACUAGAUAAAACAGCGUGUAGAUAUCAAAAGGUGCCAAAAGCAUAAAUUCCUGAAGCACAAGAUUAUGGGUGAGAAGAUAACUCCCUCCAAAUCAGUUUACCAUCUGAGGAAGGAAGGCUCAGUUAUCACCGCAACUCCGAAUCACUGAAAUCCUAUAUUGCACAACACAAGUAAUGAAGCAAAUCAGAAAACGAACACCUGUCUCGCAGAACAACUCAGCAUCUAUAGCCAGAAAACUCCGUCAAACAGCAGAAAAGGAGGACAGAGAAAACUUCUCUCGAAUUUGGUAAACCAGUAUAGCAGGGUAAACCCUCUUGUAUCCAAGCUCCCC